GACGAACGCUGGCGGCGUGCUUAACACAUGCAAGUCGAACGGAAAGGCCCUGCUUUUGUGGGGUGCUCGAGUGGCGAACGGGUGAGUAACACGUGAGUAACCUGCCCUUGACUUUGGGAUAACUUCAGGAAACUGGGGCUAAUACCGGAUAGGAGCUCUUGCUGCAUGGUGGGGGUUGGAGAGUUUCGGCGGUUGGGGAUGGACUCGCGGGUUAUCAGCUUGUUGGGGGGGUUGUGGCUUAAAAAGGCUUGGACGGGGAGCCGGCCGGAGAGGGUGAGCGGCGAAAUAGGGACCUGAGGACGGCCGCAGCACCGACGGGAGGGAGGAGUGGGGAAUAGUGCCGAAUGGGCGGAGGCUGGAUGCCGAGGCUCCGCGGUGGGGAUAACGGCCUUAGGGUUGUAAACCCCUUUUGCUAGUGACGAAGCGUUAUGUGACGGUACCUGAUAAGAAAGCCCCGGCUAACUACGUG
rnacentral:rRNA from 1 species